rnacentral:rRNA from 1 species
AAUAGAUACCCAGGUAGUCCACGCCGUAAACGAUGAGUGCUAAGUGUUAGAGGGUUUCCGCCCUUUAGUGCUGCAGCUAACGCAUUAAGCACUCCGCCUGGGGAGUACGGUCGCAAGACUGAAACUCAAAGGAAUUGACGGGGGCCCGCACAAGCGGUGGAGCAUGUGGUUUAAUUCGAAGCAACGCGAAGAACCUUACCAGGUCUUGACAUCCUCUGACAACUCUAGAGAUAGAGCGUUCCCCUUCGGGGGACAGAGUGACAGGUGGUGCAUGGUUGUCGUCAGCUCGUGUCGUGAGAUGUUGGGUUAAGUCCCGCAACGAGCGCAACCCUUGAUCUUAGUUGCCAGCAUUAAGUUGGGCACUCUAAGGUGACUGCCGGUGACAAACCGGAGGAAGGUGGGGAUGACGUCAAAUCAUCAUGCCCCUUAUGACCUGGGCUACACACGUGCUACAAUGGACGGUACAAACGGUUGCCAACCCGCGAGGGGGAGCUAAUCCGAUAAAACCGUUCUCAGUUCGGAUUGUAGG